rnacentral:rRNA from 1 species
ACACUCCUGCGGGAGGCAGCAGUGGGGAAUAUUGCACAAUGGGCGCAAGCCUGAUGCAGCCAUGCCGCGUGUAUGAAGAAGGCCUUCGGGUUGUAAAGUACUUUCAGCGGGGAGGAAGGCGAUAAGGUUAAUAACCUUGUCGAUUGACGUUACCCGCAGAAGAAGCACCGGCUAACUCCGUGCCAGCAGCCGCGGUAAUACGGAGGGUGCAAGCGUUAAUCGGAAUUACUGGGCGUAAAGCGCACGCAGGCGGUCUGUCAAGUCGGAUGUGAAAUCCCCGGGCUCAACCUGGGAACUGCAUUCGAAACUGGCAGGCUAGAGUCUUGUAGAGGGGGGUAGAAUUCCAGGUGUAGCGGUGAAAUGCGUAGAGAUCUGGAGGAAUACCGGUGGCGAAGGCGGCCCCCUGGACAAAGACUGACGCUCAGGUGCGAAAGCGUGGGGAGCAAACAGGAUUAGAUACCCUAGUAGUCCC